rnacentral:rRNA from 1 species
CCUACGGGAGGCAGCAGUGAGGAAUAUUGGUCAAUGGACGCAAGUCUGAACCAGCCAUGCCGCGUGCAGGAAGACGGCUCUAUGAGUUGUAAACUGCUUUUGUACGAGGGUAAACGCAGAUACGCGUAUCUGUCUGAAAGUAUCGUACGAAUAAGGAUCGGCUAACUCCGUGCCAGCAGCCGCGGUAAUACGGAGGAUUCAAGCGUUAUCCGGAUUUAUUGGGUUUAAAGGGUGCGUAGGCGGUCGGAUAAGUUAGAGGUGAAAUCCCGAGGCUCAACUUCGGAAUUGCCUCUGAUACUGUUCGGCGAGAGAGUAGUUGCGGUAGGCGGAAUGUAUGGUGUAGCGGUGAAAUGCUUAGAGAUCAUACAGAACACCGAUUGCGAAGGCAGCUUACCAAGCUACUUCUGACAUUGAGGCACGAAAGCGUGGGGAGCAAACAGGAUUAGAUACCCCGGUAGUC